AUGAACGCUAGCGACAGGCCUAACACAUGCAAGUCGAGGGGCAGCACGAAUCAAGCUUGCUUGAUUUGGUGGCGACCGGCGCACGGGUGCGUAACAGGUGUGCAAUCUGUCCAUAAUCGGGGAAUAGCCCAGCGAAAGUUGGAUUAAUGCUCCAUGUGAGUUUUAGAGGCAUCUCUUUAAUUUGAAACGCAAGGAUUAUGGGUGAGCACGCUUCUGAUUAGGUAGUUGGUGAGGUAACGGCUCACCAAGCCGACGAUCAGUAGGGGUUCUGAGAGGAAGGUCCCCCACAUUGGAACUGAGACACGGUCCAAACUCCUACGGGAGGCAGCAGUGAGGAAUAUUGGUCAAUGGACGAAAGUCUGAACCAGCCAAGUCGCGUGAAGGAUGAAGGUUCUAUGGAUUGUAAACUUCUUUUGUCUGAGGGUAAAAAAGCGGACGUGUCCGUUCUUGCAAGUAUCAGACGAAUAAGCAUCGGCUAACUCCGUG
rnacentral:rRNA from 1 species